rnacentral:rRNA from 1 species
GAUGAACGCUGGCGGCGUGCCUAAUACAUGCAAGUCGAGCGAACAGACGAGGAGCUUGCUCCUCUGACGUUAGCGGCGGACGGGUGAGUAACACGUGGAUAACCUACCUAUAAGACUGGGAUAACUUCGGGAAACCGGAGCUAAUACCGUAUAAUAUAUUGAACCGCAUGGUUCAAUAGUGAAAGACGGUUUUGCUGUCACUUAUAGAUGGAUCCGCGCCGCAUUAGCUAGUUGGUAAGGUAACGGCUUACCAAGGCAACGAUGCGUAGCCGACCUGAGAGGGUGAUCGGCCACACUGGAACUGAGACACGGUCCAGACUCCUACGGGAGGCAGCAGUAGGGAAUCUUCCGCAAUGGGCGAAAGCCUGACGGAGCAACGCCGCGUGAGUGAUGAAGGUCUUCGGAUCGUAAAACUCUGUUAUUAGGGAAGAACAAAUGUAUAAGUAACUAUGCACGUCUUGACGGUACCUAAUCAGAAAGCCACGGCUAACUACGUG